AGUGAACGCUGGCGGUAGGCCUAACACAUGCAAGUCGAACGGCAGCACAGUAAGAGCUUGCUCUUACGGGUGGCGAGUGGCGGACGGGUUAGGAAUACAUCGGAAUCUACUUUUUCGUGGGGGAUAACGUAGGGAAACUUACGCUAAUACCGCAUACGACCUACGGGUGAAAGCAGGGGAUCUUCGGACCUUGCGCGAUUGAAUGAGCCGAUGUCGGAUUAGCUAGUUGGCGGGGUAAAGGCCCACCAAGGCGACGAUCCGUAGCUGGUCUGAGAGGAUGAUCAGCCACACUGGAACUGAGACACGGUCCAGACUCCUACGGGAGGCAGCAGUGGGGAAUAUUGGACAAAGGGCGCAAGCCUGAUCCAGCCAUACCGCGUGGGUGAAGAAGGCCUUCGGGUUGUAAAGCCCUUUUGUUGGGAAAGAAAAGCAGCAGGUUAAUACCCCGCUGUUCUGACGGUACCCAAAGAAUAAGCACCGGCUAACUUCGUG
rnacentral:rRNA from 1 species